CGCCCGUGUUGUGGGACUCAGCUGGUUCAAACCCUGCGUCUUUCCAGCGCCUCGCUUCCCGCGGUCGGUGCUGCUCCGGCGGAGGCGCGAUGGGGGAGGCGGAGAAGUUCCACUACAUCUACAGCUGUGACCUGGACAUCAACGUGCGGCUCAAGAUAGGGAGUUUGGAAGGGAAGAGAGAACAAAAGAGUUAUAAAGCUGUUCUAGAAGACCCAAUGCUGAAGUUUUCAGGACUGUACCAGGAGACCUGCUCUGACCUUUAUGUUACUUGUCAAGUUUUUGCAGAAGGGAAGCCUCUGGCCUUGCCAGUGAGAACAUCCUACAAGGCAUUUAGUACAAGAUGGAACUGGAAUGAAUGGCUCAAACUGCCUGUGAAGUACCCCGACCUGCCCCGGAAUGCCCAAGUGGCCCUGACUAUAUGGGACGUGUAUGGGCCAGGAAAGGCAGUGCCUGUGGGUGGGACAACGGUUUCGCUCUUUGGAAAAUACGGCAUGUUUCGUCAAGGGAUGCAUGACUUGAAAGUCUGGCCUAAUGUAGAAGCAGAUGGGUCAGAACCCACAAAAACUCCUGGCAGAACAAGCAGUACACUCUCAGAAGAUCAGAUGAGCCGCCUUGCCAAGCUCACCAAAGCCCAUCGACAAGGACACAUGGUGAAAGUAGAUUGGCUGGACAGAUUGACAUUUAGAGAAAUUGAAAUGAUAAAUGAGAGUGAAAAACGAAGUUCUAAUUUCAUGUAUUUGAUGGUUGAGUUUCGAUGUGUCAAGUGCGACGAUAAAGAAUAUGGCAUUGUUUAUUAUGAAAAGGAUGGUGAUGAGUCAUCUCCAAUUUUAACAAGCUUUGAGAUAGUGAAAGUUCCUGACCCUCAGAUGUCUAUGGAGAACUUGGUUGAGAGCAAACACCACAAGCUUGCCCGGAGUUUAAGAAGCGGACCUUCUGACCAUGAUCUCAAGCCUAAUGCUACCACAAGAGACCAACUAAAUAUUAUUGUGAGUUAUCCACCAACCAAGCAACUCACAUAUGAAGAACAAGAUCUUGUUUGGAAAUUUAGAUGUUAUCUUACUAACCAAGAAAAAGCUUUGACAAAAUUCUUGAAAUGUGUUAAUUGGGAUCUACCUCAGGAGGCCAAACAGGCACUGGAACUGCUGGGGAAAUGGAAGCCCAUGGACGUGGAGGAUUCCCUGGAGCUACUGUCCUCCCAUUACACCAACCCCACAGUGAGGCGCUAUGCUGUGGCCCGGCUGCGCCAGGCAGAUGAUGAGGAUUUAUUGAUGUACCUAUUACAACUGGUCCAAGCUCUCAAAUAUGAAAAUUUUGACGAUAUAAAGAAUGGAUUAGAACCUACCAAGAAGGAUAGUCAGGGUUCAAUGUCAGAGAGUACAUCAAAUUCUGGAAUAAAUUCUGCAGAAAUAGAUAGCUCCCAAAUUAUAACCAGUCCUGUUCCUCCAGUGUCUUCCCCUCCCCCAGCAUCUAAAACAAAAGAAGGUUCAGAUGGUGAAAAUCUGGAGCAAGAUCUCUGCACCUUUUUGAUAUCAAGAGCCUGCAAAAACUCAACACUGGCUAAUUACUUAUACUGGUAUGUGAUAGUGGAAUGUGAAGAUCAAGAUACUCAGCAGAGAGACCCAAAGACCCAUGAGAUGUACUUGAAUGUGAUGAGACGAUUCAGCCAAGCAUUGUUGAAGGGUGACAAGUCUGUCAGAGUUAUGCGCUCCUUGCUGGCUGCACAGCAGACGUUUGUAGAUCGGCUGGUGCAUCUAAUGAAGGCAGUGCAGCGUGAAAGUGGAAAUCGUAAGAAAAAGAAUGAGAGACUUCAGGCAUUGCUUGGAGAUAAUGAAAAGAUGAACUUGUCAGAUGUGGAACUUAUCCCAUUGCCUCUAGAACCCCAGGUGAAAAUUAGAGGAAUAAUCCCAGAAACAGCUACACUAUUCAAGAGUGCCCUUAUGCCUGCACAGUUGUUCUUUAAGACAGAAGAUGGAGGCAAAUACCCAGUUAUAUUUAAGCAUGGGGAUGACUUACGCCAAGAUCAACUUAUUCUUCAAAUCAUUUCACUCAUGGACAAGCUACUGCGGAAAGAAAAUCUGGAUUUGAAGUUAACACCCUAUAAAGUAUUAGCCACCAGUACAAAACAUGGCUUCAUGCAGUUUAUCCAGUCAGUUCCUGUUGCUGAAGUUCUUGAUACAGAAGGAAGCAUUCAGAACUUUUUUAGAAAAUACGCACCAAGUGACAAUGGGCCCUAUGGGAUCAGUGCUGAGGUAAUGGACACGUAUGUUAAAAGCUGUGCUGGAUAUUGUGUGAUUACAUAUAUACUUGGAGUUGGAGACAGGCACUUGGAUAACCUUUUGCUAACAAAAACAGGCAAACUCUUCCACAUAGACUUUGGAUAUAUCUUGGGUCGGGAUCCGAAGCCUCUUCCUCCUCCAAUGAAGCUGAAUAAAGAGAUGGUGGAAGGCAUGGGGGGCACUCAGAGCGAGCAGUACCAGGAGUUCCGGAAGCAGUGCUACACAGCUUUCCUCCACCUGCGAAGGUAUUCUAAUCUAAUUUUGAACUUAUUUUCCUUGAUGGUGGAUGCAAACAUUCCAGAUAUUGCUCUUGAACCAGAUAAAACUGUGAAAAAGGUGCAGGAUAAAUUCCGCCUGGACCUGUCGGACGAGGAGGCGGUGCAUUACAUGCAGAGUCUGAUUGACGAGAGUGUCCACGCCCUGUUUGCUGCAGUGGUGGAGCAGAUUCACAAGUUUGCCCAGUACUGGAGAAAAUGAAACUGGGUUUGGUGUCCCCCAAGAAGCAACCUGUGUAUAAUGAAGACUUCAGAGUAACAAGCAAGCAAGAAUGUUUAAUCUUCCAGAUACCAUAUAUCCUAAAUGUUACAUGGUGUCUGAAUCCCUUGAAUUUCCCAGUUCUCCUAGGUUGUAAAUACUGAAAGUCGGAUAUGAAAAUGCAGCCAAAGAGUAACCUGCAGCAGCCUUCAGUAUGGAGCCCAAGGUAUUUUUACAUAUACGUUUAAGCAUAAACUGUCUUUCUGAAGUCAAUCUUUUUUGAAUCAGCUUAGUUUUUAAAUGACUUUUGAAAUAGUUCCCCUGGAACUGUUAAUAUAUCUUCUCUGAUUUUAACCAAGUGAUUUUUUUGUCUUUUAAGACUAGAAGUCCCACUAAUCCAUCUAGCUUUUUUGCCUCAUGCAACUUUGAGAAAAAGGAAUAAACAAAAACUGAGAAGAGCAAUGCAAUAAUAAUCCUUGCAAAUUAACACGUUGCAUAGUCUUGUGACUUUGUUUUGAAAGGAAAAGAAUAGUUGAUUCUCUCGGUGCUAAAUAAAUAUUAAAUAUCAAGUGACAGAGGAGAUUAAGAAGGUUUACUUAAGUCACCAUUUCAGAGAAUGCCAUUAAUUAUAAUGUUUAUUUGUCCCUAAAUUCUCAUCUGUGAGUUUGUCUCUAGAGUGGAGUUACCACCUAGAAAGGAAGCAUGUAAUUAGGAGACAUUCUAGAGGCACUUGGACUGUGAUUUCUUUAAAGUACACAUGCAGAUUAGAGAAUUGGUAAAGAUGAAAAGUCCUUGGCAUAGCUUCAUAUGAGAGUUUAUGCCCAAACUAAUAGGCAAGCUCCAUUCUCUCCCUUGCUUUUUCCUUGCUUUACAUAUUUAAAUCAUUUUUGUUGCCUACAAGCUUUUAACUUAUCUCUGUUCUUGUUUUAGUUCUAGUUCAUUGGCAUCUUCUCCAAAGUUUUCUCAAAACAACCCUGUUGAAAGUGACCUCUCCAACCUUCUGAAUUCUUGUAAUUCUUUAAUUAUGGAUUUUUAAUUGGCACUUAAUAAAGUGGGGUGUUUUUGUUACAUUUGCAUCUCCUGUAGAGGAAAUAAGUGAGGGGACAGAGGAAAGGAUGUUGGGUAGGGAUGAUUUUUUUUUUUAACAUACACAAUAAUAGAGCCAUAAGAUGAUGGUAAUGAGUCAAAAGAAGGAAGAUUAAUACUGCAAAGGGGUCUGUAACUAAAGGAAUGAAACCUCCCAGGUGAGAAGGCAUACCAUUUCUGAGACAAUCAGAGAAUUUUGUUUUUGAUGGGAAGAUGAGUUCUGGAUCACCAUGCAUCCACCUUCUCUCCUGUAGACCUUUCCCUUACUGCCUGGCUAAUACCGUUUCUGACCCUUCUGCCAGGGAGACAAGGAGGGAGGAGAGUAAGGGGCCUAGAAAGUCAUUACCUGAAAAGCACUGCCCUGACAUAGCUGUGAUGUUCUGGUCCACUAAGUGUUUGAGGCUGUUUCUGGAGCAUGCAUAGUUGGGUGGACUUCUAGAGGCUCCCGUAGGGACUACCAGUGGCCAGUGACUUUCUCUGGUCAGCGGCCUUGCCCUCAGUCUUCUCUUUGGCAGUUUGUUUCAAAAGCACUUUGUUUGCUGGAACCCUCCAUCAUCCCUGGCAGUUUUCUUACGUGGAAUUUUACAUAGUUCUAGCCCAGCUCUCUCUCUUGUGUUGGCCACCUCUAGUACAUGAAAAAUUCUUAAGCAUUUUUUUGCCUCACCAAAGCAGUGACUCGUCUUACUCUUCCUCCAAAGUCAUGCACUGACCUCUUGUCCUCCGAGUUUCCUAGACUGGAGCGAGACACCAGUCCCCCUGAGCACUCUCCUUAUGCAAGGACCCUGAGAGGCUUUACUUGUUGUCUCAUCCCCUUAAAACUUAGUUCCAGGCCUGGAUUAGGAGAAGCCAGACCACAGGAGAAGCUCACUGAGAAACACAGCGGGGCUCAGAAUCUCUUCAUCCCUCCAAUCCUGAGUAAAUGUCCUUGAACUAAGGACAUUUCUUCUCUCCCCUUUUCCUUUGACUGUGGUUCCCCUGAGUAAGCCACUCUAGAGACCCACUAGACUCGUAAAAUGAGGAUAAUAAUAGCCCCUACCUCAUAGUGUCGUGUGAAGGUUAAAUGAGUUAAUGCACGUAGAGCACUUACAACAGAUCCUGGCACGUAGUAAUUGCCAUGUAAGUAUCAGCUAUUAUCGUAAUUACUGUGCCACUCAGAUGAACCCUCUGGUUCAGUGGGCUUGAGGUAGAGGGGUGGAGGUGGAGGUGGGAGGAACAAAGAACAUCAGUCUUGAACAGGAGACUUGGGACUGUAGUGGGCGACUUAAGUACUUUAGCUUUAUUAACUGGCCAGGAAGUCGCUAAUUCAAAACAGCAUUAUUGAAAUUUCUUUGAGCGAGGCUUCAUGAAGAUGAAAUGUUGAAUUGUCAGAGUGGAAUAUUCAAAUUAUACGUUCUCUGGAUUUAAAGAAGCAUUGAAGCCUGGUUCAAUAUAUACAGUAAUUAAUCUUCCAUUCAGUGAACUCGGAAAAAUUUUUAAAUCUUGGUUAAUGCUUCGAACAGUGUCUAAGUGACUUGACUGAAGCCCAAUAGGAAUGAACAUGCCAACCCAUUAGCCCAGGGCAGUCAGUGUCUGCCUGUCAGCAGUUGAAUUUGCCCAGGUCAGGCACUGAAUUGCUAUUGUGUGGUGUCUUAGGCUACUGAAAGGUGCAGAGUGUGCAUACCCAGCCCAGGUAAUGCCUGGCAGUGAGGCCUCAACCCGUGGCACUAAAUGUCGGACUCACCUGCAUACGUUCGCCCAUUCAGCAAAAGUCCUACCGUGUUUUAGGGUUCCCAUCUUUUCCAACUUUAUAAAAUGAGCACAUUCUUGACAAUCUCAUAAAAGACCCCUCCAACCUAAACAAAGAAGCCCUGUGUUCAGUGUUUACCUGGUUUGCGUGUUCUUUCUACUCAUUUCAUGCCUGGGUUUCCCUCGGCUCCUGCUGGCUUCCUGUCCCAGAGCCUCACAGGCCAGUUCCUCCUUUACAUGCUCCUCCAGACCCUGCUGGCUGGGCCUCCUCUCUCCCAAUGGCUGCAUGGAAAACACGGAUGUUCUGCACAUUUUCAUUUAGCCUCAUCGAUUCCAUCGAUGUCUUGUCAGAUAUGCUGGAGCCCAAGGCUUCAUCAGCCACACAAGUCAUCAGAGAUGGGCCCUCUGGUCUUUUGACUCUGAUUAUUCUUUAUUUUUAUUCUGAUUCAAGGCAUGGAAUUAUGUGGGGGAGGAGAGAAGGAAGGAGACAGGAGGGAGCUAGAGGUCAGUGCUCAGAAAAACAAAAGAACAAAAGAACUGCAAAUUGGGACCUCUCUCCAUAGGCUCCUUCCUUUCAGAAAGUCAGUGCAAAACCAUCAUCUCCCAGGGACUUCUAGCUCAGGGCUGGCCUGUCCAAGGGAGACCUGCCCGGGCAGUCGCUUGUCAGAUCAAUCCUAGGGCCACCUUUGUGCAGACAUUCUGCCUUCUCUAUCUGGGCCCUCCCACUGCCUUCAGGGGUUUUACAUCUCAUUUAUUAGGGAGAUAAAAAGGAAUGGUGGAUGGAGCCCUUGGGGAAAGCAGGAGGUCGCCCUGGGCUGCUGCUUCAGGGGUGGACUCUUGCUUGGCAAAUGUUUAACCAGGUUUUUGUUGUUAUUUUAAACUAGAGGCCCAGUACACAAAAUUUGUGCACAGAUGCGGUCUUUAGGCCUGGCCAGUGAUCAAACCACAAGCAUCUGGCAUGGAAGGGCAGGUCCCAGCUGACCUCUGGCCCCUGGGCUGCACCUGGGCCUACAGGCCCUCACACGCCCCCCUCGCCUGAGUCACGGCACUCAAGUCUUCACGUGGAGAUGCAGUGAGUGCAGUUGGACACUGCGGGCCGGGUUGCAGUGUGGGCCUCUGAGCCACCCAGUGGCACCGCAUAUGGAAGCUGGGCAGGCAGUGCGCUCACAAACCCACGGAGCCCCAACUGGCCCCUGCGAUCCCAGUGGCUGCAGCCUGGCUCACCCAGAAGAGGAUGCACGAGUGCAGGGUGGGCUCCUCACUGUGGCUUCCCCAGCGUGAGCCCUGGUGUCCCAGGGGAGGGUAGCAGGGGGAGUGAGAGCGAGCUCCGUGGACACCCUGCAUUUUCACUGCACCUCCAUCCCCGUCACCCCACCCCCAGGUAGCCCGCUGUCCAGGUGCUGUGGGAGGUUGGUCACUGCCACCCACCCCCAGUUCCUCGUCCCAGCCCAGGGCCCGGCCCCGAUCGGGCGAUCAGGGCCUACUGGCUGCUGGUUGCUGUCUGUGGGGUGAUGGAUCUGGUCCAGGCCCCCACCCGGUUCCCUCAGCGCCUAGGAGCUGGGGACAGCCCCACCCCUCACCACUACUGCUGGUCGCCAUCUGUGGGAUGAUUGGCAGGACAAUUAGUCCCCCACUCGCACCUGCCUUGGCCUGGUGCCACCCACUCACCUGCUCCACCAUCCCGCCAUGGUCCUGCUCUCAUUGGGGCCCAUCAGAGCCAGCAAUGCCUCCACUGCUGCCCGCUGAUGCUGACAUGUCCCGCUCCACCCCCUGUUGGUCAGCGCACAUCAUAGCAAGCAGUCGAACUCCCAGUUGAGGGGACAAUUUGCAUAUUAGGCUUUUGUUAUAUAGAAUUUUGUUUGCAUUUUUUUGCAACACAUCUAGAAUACUUUCUGAUAAAUCUGGUAAUCUAUUGGUUUUUAAAAUUCAAAUAUUGGAGGUUCCUUCAAUAUUGGAGUCUGAAGGUGGGUGGGGGUUGGGGAGUCUAUGAAUAAUAGAUGCAAUUUGUAACCAUCUAUGGAGCUGAAAAUAAAGUAGAUUGAGUGCGUGUGUGUAAAAACUCUGUAUCUUCAUCCUGUACUUAGAAUUUAGUUUUAGCUGAAGGUUGGUGCCUUUAUCUGACCUGUCAACAUUAUAGAUGAUACUGUAAUAUUUAUAAACAUAUUUGCAUAUCUUUUAUCAGAUGGGUGCUCUUAGUUGAUUUGGUGUUCCAGCUUCUAUUUGGAAAAUAAAUCAAUAUUUGAAAUGAAGAUGAAAAGCUCAGGGGGUAUUUUUCAUGCCAGUCCUAGGUUUUGCUUGCACUUGAGAUGUGCGACCUUUUGGGGUCAAUGCUGGGUAUAA